rnacentral:misc_RNA from 1 species
AAGUCGUAACAAGGUUUCCGUAGGUGAACCUGCGGAAGGAUCAUUAACGAGUUAGGGUCUUCCAGGCCCGAUCUCCCAACCCAUUGUUUACCACACCAUUUGUUGCUUCGGCGAGCCCGUCUUCACGGACCGCCGGGGGACCGUAAUAAGUCUCCUGGCCCGCGCUCGUCGGUAGCCCAAACCUUAAUUCUUAACCAAACAUGUCUUGACUAAGUACAAAUUUUUUAAUUAAAAGCAAAACUUUCAACAACGGAUCUCUUGGUUCUG